UCGGGAAUUUUGGGCAAUGGGCGAAAGCCUGAUCCAGCCAUGCCGCGUGUGUGAAGAAGGUCUUCGGAUUGUAAAGCACUUUAAGUUGGGAGGAAGGGCAGUAAAUUAAUACUUUGCUGUUUUGACGUUACCGACAGAAUAAGCACCGGCUAACUCUGUGCCAGCAGCCGCGGUAAUACAGAGGGUGCAAGCGUUAAUCGGAAUUACUGGGCGUAAAGCGCGCGUAGGUGGUUUGUUAAGUUGGAUGUGAAAUCCCCGGGCUCAACCUGGGAACUGCAUCCAAAACUGGCAAGCUAGAGUAUGGUAGAGGGUGUGGAAUUUCCUGUGUAGCGGUGAAAUGCGUAGAUAUAGGAAGGAACACCAGUGGCGAAGGCGACCACCUGGACUGAUACUGACACUGAGGUGCGAAAGCGCGGGGAGCAAACAGGAUUAGAUACCCCAGUAGUCCCUGAGCGGGCUGGCAAGGCGCAU
rnacentral:rRNA from 1 species